GACGAACGCUGGCGGCGUGCUUAACACAUGCAAGUCGAACGGUGAAGCGCCUUCCUUUUUGGUGGGUGUGGAUGAGUGGCGAACGGGUGAGUAACACGUGAGUAACCUGCCCCCUUCUUCUGGAUAACCGCAUGAAAGUGUGGCUAAUACGGGAUAUUCUGGGUCUGUCGCAGGAUGGGUAUGGGAAAGAUGUUGUGUCGGUGGGGGAUGGGCUCGCGGCCUAUCAGCUUGUUGGGGGGGUGAUGGCCUACCAAGGCGGUGACGGGUAGCCGGCCUGAGAGGGUGGACGGUCACACGGGGACUGAGGCACGGUCCAGACUGCUACGGGAGGCAGCAGUGGGGAGGAGUGCACAAUGGGCGCAAGCCUGAUGCAGCGACGCCGCGUGAGGGAUGGAGGCCUUCGGGUUGUGAACCUCUUUCGCCAGUGAAGCAGGCCUGCCUCGUUUGUGGGUGGGUUGACGGUAGCUGGAUAAGAAGCGCCGGCUAACUACGUG
rnacentral:rRNA from 1 species